rnacentral:rRNA from 1 species
AGAGAGAGACAUGCGCGCAUAUCAAUAAGCGGAGGAAAAGAAACUAACUAGGAUUCCCUCAGUAACGGCGAGUGAGGCGGGAAGAGCUCAAAUUUCGAAAUCUUCAAGGUUCUACCUUGACGAAUUGUAGUUUAAAGAAGUGUUUUCUGUUGGAGUUUUGGUAAAAGUUCUUUGGAAUAGGACAUCAUAGAGGGUGAGAAUCCCGUAUUUGACCAUUAUUUCCAGCUUUGUGAUACACUUUCAAAGAGUCGGAUUGUUUGGGAAUGCAGUCCAAAAUGGGUGGUAAAUUUCAUCUAAAGCUAAAUAUUGGCGAGAGACCGAUAGCGAACAAGUACCGUGAGGAAAGAUGAAAAGAACUUUGAAAAGAGAGUUAAACAGUACGUGAAAUUGUCAAAAGGGAAGCGUUUGACACCAGUGUUGUUUUCUCGAAAAUCAAUUAAAAAAGGCAGGAUUUUGUGUUGUAUUGACUUUAUCAGCUUUCUGCACUCUUUUCUUGUCUUUUUUAAUGCACUUUUCGUUUAACGAGUCAACAUCAAUUUCUUUUGUUGUAAAAGGGUCAUUGGAAGGUGGCUUUCUUUUCGGAGAAAGUGUUUAUAGCCUUUGGCCUCUGCAAUCGGAGAGAUUGAGGUCUGCAGCGUAGAUCCUUCGGGGUUAGAUACAUUUGUGCUAAGUUAUAGCCUUUCAUAGACAACUUGUUGACUAUGAUCAGUCAUGUAGCUUACUCGCUUAUGCUAUUUUACCUACGCUUAGGAUGUUGAUGUGAUACUGCGAGCA